rnacentral:rRNA from 1 species
CUACGGGAGGCAGCAGUAAAGAAUCUUCCACAAUGGGCGAAAGCCUGAUGGAGCGACACCGCGUGCAGGAUGAAGGCCUUAGGGUCGUAAACUGCUUAUCUGGGGGAAGAAUUUUGAAGGUACCCUAGGAAUAAGCACCGGCUAACUCCGUGCCAGCAGCCGCGGUAAU